UACGGGGGGAGCAAGCGUUGUUCGGAUUCAUUGGGCGUAAAGGGUGCGUAGGUGGCGCGGUAAGUCGGGUGUGAAAUUUCGGAGCUUAACUCCGAAACUGCAUUCGAUACUGCCGGGCUUGAGGACUGGAGAGGAGACUGGAAUUUACGGUGUAGCAGUGAAAUGCGUAGAGAUCGUAAGGAAGACCAGUGGCGAAGGCGGGUCUCUGGACAGUUCCUGACACUGAGGCACGAAGGCCAGGGGAGCAAACGGG
rnacentral:rRNA from 1 species